rnacentral:rRNA from 1 species
CGCGCCCUACGGGGCGCAGCAGUGGGGGAUAUUGCACAAUGGGGGAAACCCUGAUGCAGCGACGCCGCGUGGGUGAAGAAGCGCCUCGGCGCGUAAAGCCCUGUCAGCAGGGAAGAAAAUGACGGUACCUGAAGAAGAAGCCCCGGCUAACUACGUGCCAGCAGCCGCGGUAAUACGUAGGAGGCAAGCGUUAUCCGGAUUUACUGGGUGUAAAGGGGGCGCAGACGGCGAUGCAAGCCAGGAGUGAAAGCCCGGGGCCCAACCCCGGGCCUGCUCUUGGAACUUCGUGGC